GAUGAACGCUGGCGGCGUGCCUAAUACAUGCAAGUCGAGCGAACAGACGAGGAGCUUGCUCCUCUGACGUUAGCGGCGGACGGGUGAGUAACACGUGGAUAACCUACCUAUAAGACUGGGAUAACUUCGGGAAACCGGAGCUAAUACCGGAUAAUAUAUUGAACCGCAUGGUUCAAUAGUGAAAGACGGUUUUGCUGUCACUUAUAGAUGGAUCCGCGCCGCAUUAGCUAGUUGGUAAGGUAACGGCUUACCAAGGCGACGAUGCGUAGCCGACCUGAGAGGGUGAUCGGCCACACUGGAACUGAGAUACGGUCCAGACUCCUACGGGAGGCAGCAGUAGGGAAUCUUCCGCAAUGGGCGAAAGCCUGACGGAGCAACGCCGCGUGAGUGAUGAAGGUCUUCGGAUCGUAAAACUCUGUUAUUAGGGAAGAACAAAUGUGUAAGUAACUAUGCACGUCUUGACAGUACCUAAUCAGAAAGCCACGGCUAACUACGUG
rnacentral:rRNA from 1 species